rnacentral:rRNA from 1 species
GUCUUACACAUGCAGUCGAACGAUGAAGCCCAGCUUGCUGGGUGGAAGAGUGGCGAACGGGUGAGUAACACGUGAGUAACCUGCCCUUAACUUCGGGAUAAGCGCUAGAAAUGGCGUCUAAUACCGGAUAUGAGCAAUGAUCGCAUGGUCGUUGUUGGAAAGAUUUAUCGGUUUUGGAUGGACUCGCGGCCUAUCAGCUUGUUGGUGAGGUAAUGGCUCACCAAGGCGACGACGGGUAGCCGGCCUGAGAGGGUGACCGGCCACACUGGGACUGAGACACGGCCCAGACUCCUACGGGAGGCAGCAGUGGGGAAUAUUGCACAAUGGGCGAAAGCCUGAUGCAGCAACGCCGCGUGAGGGAUGACGGCCUUCGGGUUGUAAACCUCUUUUAGUAGGGAAGAAGCGAAAGUGACGGUACCUACAGAAAAAGCACCGGCUAACUACGUGCCAGCAGCCGCGGUAAUACGUAGGGUGCAAGCGUUGUCCGGAAUUAUUGGGCGUAAAGAGCUCGUAGGCGGCUUGUCGCGUCUGCUGUGAAAACCCGAGGCUCAACCUCGGGCCUGCAGUGGGUACGGGCAGGCUAGAGUGCGGUAGGGGAGAUUGGAAUUCCUGGUGUAGCGGUGGAAUGCGCAGAUAUCAGGAGGAACACCGAUGGCGAAGGCAGAUCUCUGGGCCGCUACUGACGCUGAGGAGCGAAAGCAUGGGGAGCGAACAGGAUUAGAUACCCUGGUAGUCUAUGCCGUAAACGUUGGGAACUAGAUGUAGGGACCAUUCCACGGUUUCUGUGUCGUAGCUAACGCAUUAAGUUCCCCGCCUGGGGGAGUACGGCCGCAAGGCUAAAACUCAAGGGAAUUGACGGGGGCCCGCACAAGCGGCGGAGCAUGCGGGAUUAAUUUCGAUGCAACGCGAAGACCCUUACCAAGGCUUUG